rnacentral:rRNA from 2 species
UACGUAGGGGGCGAGCGUUGUCCGGAAUCAUUGGGCGUAAAGCGCGUGUAGGCGGCUCGUUAAGUCCGGUGUGAAACCUUGGGGCUCAACCCCAAGCCUGCACUGGAUACUGACGAGCUCGAGUCCGGGAGGGGAGAGCGGAAUUCCUAGUGUAGCGGUGAAAUGCGCAGAUAUUAGGAAGAACACCGGUGGCGAAGGCGGCUCUCUGGAACGGUACUGACGCUGAGACGCGAAAGCGUGGGGAGCGAACAGG